rnacentral:tRNA from 1 species
GAGUUAUAGCUCAGUGGGAGAGCACUUGCUUGACGUGCAAGGGGUCGGGGGUUCAAAUCCCUCUAACUCC